CAUGCCGCGUGUAGGAUGAAGGUUCUAUGGAUUGUAAACUACUUUUAUACGGGAAAAAACCCCGGGUUUCUACCUGGGUUGAUGGUACCGUAAGAAUAAGGAUCGGCUAACUCCGUGCCAGCAGCCGCGGUAAUACGGAGGAUCCAAGCGUUAUCCGGAUUCACUGGGUUUAAAGGGCGCGUAGGUGGAAUGUCAAGUCAGUGGUGAAAACCUGCAGCUCAACUGUAGACCUGCCAUUGAUACUGUCAUUCUUGAGUGCAUUUGAUGUGAGUGGAAUGUGUCGUGUAGCGGUGAAAUGCUUAGAUAUGACACAGAACACCAAUUGCGAAGGCAGCUCACAAAACUGUAACUGACACUGAGGCACGAAAGCGUGGGGAUCAAACAGGAUUAGAUACCCUGGUAGUCCACGCCGUAAACGUUGAUUACUAGAUGUAUGCGCGUUAGCGUAUGUGUCAAAGCGAAAGCGUUAAGUAAUCCACCUGGGGAGUACGACCCGCAAGGUUGAAACUCAAAGGGAUUGACGGGGGCCCGCACAAGCGGAGGAGCAUGUGGUUUAAUUCGAUGGUACGCGAGGAACCUUACCUGGGCUUGAAAGUUAGUGACCCGCUCCUGAAAGGGAGCUUUCCGAAAGGACACGAAACUAGGUGCUGCAUGGCUGUCGUCAGCUCGUGCCGUGAGGUGUUGGGUUAAGUCCUGUAACGAGCGCAACCCCUA
rnacentral:rRNA from 1 species